GACGAACGCUGGCGGCGUGCUUAACACAUGCAAGUCGAACGGAAAGGCCCUGCUUUUUUGGUGUGCUCGAUUGGCGAACGGGUGAGUAACACGUGAGUAACCUGCCCUUGACUUUGGGAUAACUUCAGGAAACUGGGGCUAAUACCGGAUAGCAGCUCCUGCUGCAUGGUGAGGGUUGGAAAUUUUCGGCGGUUGGGGAUGGACUCGCGGCUUAUCAGCUUGUUGGUGGGGUAGUGGCUUACCAAGGCUUUGACGGGUAGCCGGCCUGAGAGGGUGACCGGCCACAUUGGGACUGAGAUACGGCCCAGACUCCUACGGGAGGCAGCAGUGGGGAAUAUUGCACAAUGGGCGGAAGCCUGAUGCAGCAACGCCGCGUGCGGGAUGACGGCCUUCGGGUUGUAAACCGCUUUCGCCUGUGACGAAGCGUGAGUGACGGUAAUGGGUAAAGAAGCACCGGCUAACUACGUG
rnacentral:rRNA from 1 species